AAUUUUUUCCAGGAUUCCAGAGUAUGGCGGCUCCAGUCCCAGGUGAGCCCUACUCCGCUUAAAAUUUCAGUUUAUUCGGAAAAGGGGAGAACACGGGAAUCGGGGGAGAAGGAAGGGGAGUGAGUGAGAGGAGGGAGGAGGGGAAGACUGGGCAUCCGCGGGCAGCACUUCAGUGGGCCCUGGCGGGGUGGGAGUCUCGGCCCCUGUCUCCACGCCCAGACCCCGGGGCCUUCCCACUGAGAGCCAGGAAAUUCGCAGCUUGAAUCUGGAGGGGACGGGGAGCCCCUUUUAGCCCAGAUCUGCCGGAUUCUCGAGAAUCAGGUGAAAUCUGGAUACAGGGCAGGGCAGAGUGCCAGUAAACGGUGCCCCGGAACCGACGCCAGACGCCUGCUGCCCCACGGGCUUCAUUCUUCCUCCUCACGUCCUGGGAACAGGAGGUCUCGCCAGCUCCCCCCAGUGAAGGGCAAGGGGGCGGAUCGCUGAAUCGCCCGUGGUGCGCAGUGUGAAUGGUGGCCUAAGCCGUCUUCUCCGAGGGCUCAGCCAUCCUGGGAGCUUGAGGCCAGGCGGGCGCUGCGGCGCUGGUUUAGUCGGUGGAGCAAAGAGACUCUCAGCGUCAGCCUUUAGGGUUGGAGGCCCACAUUCCGCUCGGCCUACAGACCUCAGCGCUAGACAUGGACGCCCUUCAAAGGAGGACAUUUCAGCGGACGGCAGAGAAUACAGAUUUAUGCCGGAGCGGUGGGGAAGGAGCCUCUGGCGGGUCAUCCGCAUUUAUGGGAGAUCGCAGAGUGGUGAGCGAAGUCUUACACCGCUGGGGGCAUCGGUGCGGAACUGAAACUGUUGUGGGGGACCCCCAGUCGCCCUGAUUUCUGGGUCUGAUUCAUUAUGUCACUUAGUUUCUACUAUUCUCAUGCCACCCCGCCAAUUACUAGACAUAAAGCAUUCGUAAGGGAGCCCGGCUAGCUCAGUCGGUAGAGCAUGAGACUCUUAAUCUCAGGGUCGUGGGUUCGAGCCCCACGUUGGGCGACUUGUUUUCUUCCUUGCUACCUUGGAGUUCUGGAAACAGCCAGCCUUUAAUGAACACUGCUAGGUGCCGCAUCGCGCUCUGUGAUGGUAUCCCCUCAAUCAUUGAAUUUUGGUCCCCGCGCGCUCGCAGCAGCGAGGAUUGUCGGUGAAGUGACCAAAGGCAGCACCGGGAUUGGCUGGUUGCCAGCCGGGGGUGAGAACGGAGGGGCCACAGGAUGGGUAUGAGGGGCGCAGGGGCCUCUCCCCACUUUGUGCGGUGCGGGGAGGUGCCCGGGCGCUGGCCCACCCGCUGUUGAAUUUACCCCUUUCCAGCAAGCCUGCAAUCCCAGUCUUCUCUCCCUUUGCUGUCGCCGGCUUCAGCUGUACUGCUCCAAGUACUCCACCACUGCCCCAAAGAAAAGUAAGUCUAUCACUACCGUGGCUCGUUGGUCUACGGAUAUGAUUCUCGUUUAGGGUGCGAGAGGUCCCGGGUUCAAAACCCAGAGGAGCCCUUCUGCUUAUUUUUUGAGACUCUGUGGAGUCUGGCUCGGUCGCCCAGGCUGGAGUGCAGUGG
ensembl:lincRNA